rnacentral:rRNA from 1 species
GGCACUACGGUGCUGAAGCAACAAAUGCCCUGCUUCCAGGAAAAGCCUCUAAGCAUCAGGUAACAUCAAAUCGUACCCCAAACCGACACAGGUGGUCAGGUAGAGAAUACCAAGGCGCUUGAGAGAACUCGGGUGAAGGAACUAGGCAAAAUGGUGCCGUAACUUCGGGAGAAGGCACGCUGAUAUGUAGGUGAAGCGACUUGCUCGUGGAGCUGAAAUCAGUCGAAGAUACCAGCUGGCUGCAACUGUUUAUUAAAAACACAGCACUGUGCAAACACGAAAGUGGACGUAUACGGUGUGACGCCUGCCCGGUGCCGGAAGGUUAAUUGAUGGGGUUAGCGGUAACGCGAAGCUCUUGAUCGAAGCCCCGGUAAACGGCGGCCGUAACUAUAACGGUCCUAAGGUAGCGAAAUUCCUUGUCGGGUAAGUUCCGACCUGCACGAAUGGCGUAAUGAUGGCCAGGCUGUCUCCACCCGAGACUCAGUGAAAUUGAACUCGCUGUGAAGAUGCAGUGUACCCGCGGCAAGACGGAAAGACCCCGUGAACCUUUACUAUAGCUUGACACUGAACAUUGAGCCUUGAUGUGUAGGAUAGGUGGGAGGCUUUGAAGUGUGGACGCCAGUCUGCAUGGAGCCGACCUUGAAAUACCACCCUUUAAUGUUUGAUGUUCUAACGUUGGCCCGUUAUCCGGGUUGCGGACAGUGUCUGGUGGGUAGUUUGACUGGGGCGGUCUCCUCCUAAAGAGUAACGGAGGAGCACGAAGGUUGGCUAAUCCUGGUCGGACAUCAGGAGGUUAGUGCAAUGGCAUAAGCCAGCUUGACUGCGAGCGUGACGGCGCGAGCAGGUGCGAAAGCAGGUCAUAGUGAUCCGGUGGUUCUGAAUGGAAGGGCCAUCGCUCAACGGAUAAAAGGUACUCCGGGGAUAACAGGCUGAUACCGCCCAAGAGUUCAUAUCGACGGCGGUGUUUGGCACCUCGAUGUCGGCUCAUCACAUCCUGGGGCUGAAGUAGGUCCCAAGGGUAUGGCUGUUCGCCAUUUAAAGUGGUACGCGAGCUGGGUUUAGAACGUCGUGAGACAGUUCGGUCCCUAUCUGCCGUGGGCGCUGGAGAACUGAGGGGGGCUGCUCCUAGUACGAGAGGACCGGAGUGGACGCAUCACUGGUGUUCGGGUUGUCAUGCCAAUGGCACUGCCCGGUAGCUAAAUGCGGAAGAGAUAAGUGCUGAAAGCAUCUAAGCACGAAACUUGCCCCGAGAUGAGUUCUCCCUGACUCCUUGAGAGUCCUGAAGGAACGUUGAAGACGACGACGUUGAUAGGCCGGGUGUGUAAGCGCAGCGAUGCGUUGAGCUAACCGGUACUAAUGAACCGUGAGG